UGAUUCAUCAUGACUCUCAGUUCUUCCCUUCUAGGACCUUGGCUCUAACUUCUUAAAUUAUCCAUGAUUUUUCAUAAAAAAUUAUUUUGUAUUUGCAGCUAAGUUGUUUUCUCAACUGUCUUCAUGCCCAUAGAAGUCUGGGGACUCAAAGUUCUCUUUUCAUUUUGUAAUAUCUCUUUCCCUUAAGUCCUACAGUUGGGCAAAAUCAUCUAACACAAAGGCUAUUUUACAAUAGUGUUGAAUAUGUUGUGUAAUUUAUUGAAUACCAUACUGAAAAUGAAAAACAAAAUGGUUUUAUGGGGAUCAGAGUACAAUUCUACGGAAUAUGUUUCACUUUCAUACCAUCAUAAAGCUGAAAAAUCACAAGUUGAACCCUCAAGGAGUCAGAGACCAUCUUUAAUUUUGAGACAGUUUUGAAAACCUAGACUAAACAUGGGAAAAGUGAAAAUACACUAACUGGAUUCUACUAACAAGAAAUUGACCCAGAUAGUAAUGCAUAGAAAAACCAAUAAAAUGUAUGCCUCUUUAUGUUUUCCCUCUGGCUUUAAAACGACUUCAUUGAGACUUGAGUAAGUUAAUAAAGACUUUGUAAAAGGUUUGGGAAUGGCAGUCUUUCCUGAUCAUAAUGCAACUUAAUUAGAUGUCAGUCACUCUUUUUAAAAGACUGCUUUUGGCUUUUAAAAGCUGGGGUUGAAAAUUGACUCAGCAUUAUGCUAGUACUGUUUUGUGUAUGUGUCAACAACUUCUUCCAACAUUCCCUAUAGUUCGCUGAGAUCUCCUGAAUCUAUGUCCCAUACAUUUUCUGUUCAGUCCUUAACUUUAAUAUCUCCCAUCUACUUAAUUUGGCUUUACAACAAUAAUGUUUCACAUGUUUGAAAUCCUAUUCUUCCAUAUUGUUGUUUCAGACUCCAUAGGCAGGAUGAGUAAUUUAAACGCAACCUAACUAAAGGACAUAUAUUCUACCUCAAAUUCUGUAAUAAACUCAGUGUGUGUGUGUGUGUGUGUGUGUGUAUUUGACUUAGGAGCCCUGAUAUUUAAAUGAAUGAAUUCUGAAUCUAUAAAUGUCCAGACAGAAAUGGGUAGUGAUCCACAUGAUUUAGUAAAGCCUCAAAUGAUUCUACUGUUUUCAGAACUCCUAUUUUAUUAUCAACUGCAAUGUAAUGUGUAAAAUAAGUGUACAAGUCAUUAUCUAACUCCAAUAGAUGACCCCAGAUCUUCAAGAAAUGCAUUAUAUUAUUCUCCAAAGCAUGUGACUGAAUUGAAGCUGCCUAGAUAUGAGUUAAAAACAGAAAACAGCAGUAACUUUACAAAUUUUGAGAGAUAGCAGAGUGGCAAGAUAAUUGGAUUUGGGAUUAUAAAACAUGUCACCCCCACUCUGCCAGUUAGCUGUUGUGGACAUUGAAUAAAAUCCCCUGAACCUUGGUUUCCUAACUUAUAUAGUGAAAUACUGGCAAUACCUACUUUGUGUUUCUCAGUUUUGCUGAGAAGGUCAACUGAGAGAACAUGAAUGAAAAUAUUUUGUCAACGAGACAUUAAUAGUAGCAUAGUGGGAAAGAGUGAAUGCUAAGAGUGAAUGCUAUGGACUCAGGCUCCUUGUUUUACAAAGCAGCUCAACCACUCUGAUCAGGGCAAGAGACACAACCUCUUUAGGAGCUGGGCUUCUUGUGUAAAUGUACUUACCUUAAAGAAUCAGUGAGGUCAUGGACUGAAAAAUUGAAAACUUUCAUAUCAAGUACUAGAUGUGUACCCUGGAAAGCACUCUGUGGCCAGGCAUGGCAAUGUGAGGGCAACUUGCACAUAAUAGCUGUACUGUGCGUGCUCAACUUGGGCACCAGGCCAAGGACUCCUCUCCAUUUACGUUGACAGACAUGUGUGUGUGUUGAUCUGCUUUUUAUAUUUCCUUGCAUCACAGUGGUUUGGCCUGAGAGUCAGGUUUGUGAAUUAAUGUAGGGGGAGAUAAAUAGAGCUUUGUCAUGUUUAGUCUAAGACUGCUUAGGAGUUUAGCAUAUGAAGAAGUCCCAGAUGGUUCAACCUGCUUAACGUAGCUUUAUCUCAGACUUCGGAGCCAAAAACUCCAGCUAAUAAUGUAUCAUUUUGCAUUGCUUGGAUAAUAUAUCUAUCAUCCCCCAAAACUGUACAGGAGGUUUCUUAUUUUGAAAUGGAAUUUGUAUAUUCUAAACUUCUCCUGGCAAAGCUAGAGAAGGGACAUAUAUAUAG
rnacentral:lncRNA from 1 species